AUGGAGGUAAGACUGAGCUGGGUUUUCCUUGUGGUUCUGUUCAAAGGUGUCCAGUGUGAGGUGAAGCUGGUGGAGUCUGGGGGAGGCUUGGUGCAGCCUGGAAAGUCCCUGAAACUCUCCUGUGCAGCCUCUGGAUUCACCUCCAGUGACCACUGGAUGAACUGGGUCUGCCAGGCUCCAGGCAAGGGGCUGGAGUGGGUUGCUGUAAUAGGUUAUGGUGGUGGCACUGGCUACAACCCAUCCCUCAAGAGCCGCAUCUCCAUCACCAGAGACACAGCCAAGAACCAGUUCUUCCUGCAGCUGAACUCUGUGACCACUGAGGACACAGCCACAUAUUACUGUGCAAGAGACACAGUG